rnacentral:rRNA from 1 species
GGUGCGUAGGCGGGGCGGUAAGUCAGUGGUGAAAGCCUGCAGCUUAACUGUAGAAUUGCCAUUGAUACUGUCGCUCUUGAAUGCGGUUGAGGCAGGCGGAAUGUGUAAUGUAGCGGUGAAAUGCUUAGAUAUUACACAGAACACCGAUUGCGUAGGCAGCUUGCUAAACCGUGAUUGACGCUGAGGCACGAAAGCGUGGGGAGCAAACAGGAUUAGAUACCCUGGUAGUCCACGCUGUAAACGAUGAUCACUCGCUGUUGGCGAUAUACUGUCAGCGGCUAAGCGAAAGCAUUAAGUGAUCCACCUGGGGAGUACGACGGCAACGUUGAAACUCAAAGGAAUUGACGGGGGCCCGCACAAGCGGAGGAACAUGUGGUUUAAUUCGAUGAUACGCGAGGAACCUUACCUGGGCUUAAAUGGGAGACGACUUCUGCCGAAAGGUGGAUUUCCUUCGGGACGGCUCUCAAGGUGCUGCAUGGUUGUCGUCAGCUCGUGCCGUGAGGUGUCGGGUUAAGUCCCAUAACGAGCGCAACCCCUAUCGUUAGUUGCCAACGGGUAAUGCCGGGGACUCUAGCGAAACUGCCAGCGUAAGCUGGAGGAAGGUGGGGAUGACGUCAAAUCAGCACGGCCCUUACGUCCAGGGCUACACACGUGUUACAAUGGCCGGUACAGAGGGCUGCUACUGGGCGACCAGAUGCUAAUCUCUAAAGCCGGUCUUAGUUCGGAUUGAAGUCUGAAACUCGACU